UUUACGGUAGAUUGCAAAAAA
rnacentral:piRNA from 1 species